rnacentral:rRNA from 1 species
UUCGCAAUGCCCGAAAGGGUGACAAUGCGACGCCGCGUGAGCGAUGAAGGCCUUCGGGUUGUAAAGCUCUGUCAGCUCGGAUGAAAACAGGAAGAUUAAUACCUUUUCUGUUUGACGGUACGAGCAGAGGAAGCCACGGCUAACUCCGUGCCAGCAGCCGCGGUAAUACAGAGGCGGCAAGCGUUGUUCGGAAUUAUCGGGCGUAAAGAGCACGUAGGCGGCCUUGCAAGUCAGUUGUGAAAGCCUUCCGCUCAACGGAAGAAUGCCAGCUGAUACUACAGGGCUUGAGUACGGGAGGGGAGAGUGGAACUUCUGGUGGAGCGGUGAAAUGCGUAGAUAUCAGAAGGAACGCCGGCGGCGAAAGCGACUCUCUGGCCCGAAACUGACGCUGAGUGUGCGAAAGCUAGGGGAGCAAACGGGAUUAGAUACCCCGGUAGUCCUAGCCGUAAACGAUGGGCACUAAGUAGAGGGGUUUU